rfam:Ovis aries breed Texel chromosome 16, whole genome shotgun sequence.
UCCCUGGUGACUCAGAGGUAAAAGAACCUGCCUGCAAUGCAGGAGACCUAGGUUCAAUCCCAGGUCGGGAAG